rnacentral:rRNA from 1 species
UACGGGGGGAGCAAGCGUUGUUCGGAUUUACUGGGCGUAAAGGGCGCGUAGGCGGCCAGCACAAGUCAGUUGUGAAAUCUCCGAGCUUAACUCGGAAAGGUCAACUGAUACUGUGCGGCUAGAGUGCGGAAGGGGCAACUGGAAUUCUUGGUGUAGCGGUGAAAUGCGUAGAUAUCGGGAGGAACACCUGUGGCGAAAGCGGCGCACUGGACCAUAACUGACGCUGAUGCGCGAAAGCUAGGGGAGCAAACAGG